rfam:Clostridium autoethanogenum DSM 10061, complete genome.
AUUUAAAUACAUCUUAUGUUGAGGUUCAAC